rnacentral:lncRNA from 1 species
CUGGAGACGCCAAUGACUGGGUGAAAUUUAUCAAGAUGUUUGUGAGAAUUUCUUGAUUAUAUAAUACAGCAGUGACUUGGACAAGACUUAGUCAUCUUGAUUUCUGUGUUUUGUUAAAAAGUUGCCUGAAUGCCAUUCUAAGUACAAGGCAUAGCAAUUCAUCCAUGUCUUAGCAGCCAUGUUCUGAUUUGUUGAUGAAUUUACUUACACUUGUACUGACCCUCUUUUUUUUCCAGAGUACCUGCUUUAACUGUCUGCCAACCUCAUCAAAGGGCCACUGUCAUUAGAAACGAACAUGCUCAGAAUGCUGACCUUCCACGAAAAUACUCAAAAAGGGAGAAGAAACCAUUUCCUAUACCAGUGCUGGAGUUAAGACGCCGAGCAAAGGAGAGGAUGAAGGCAGCACAAGGGAAACCAAAACGUCCACUGCCUCCACCAAAAAAUGGAAUGCUAAUCCGUAGACUGAUACCAGUUGCCUACAAAGUGUACAAUGCAAGAAUUUUGCUGAUCAACAACUUGAGGAAGCUUAUGAAAGUAGUACCUGUAAAAGGCUGCAAGUAAUUCCCGUUUCCCAUCAUUUACUGAUUAUUAUUUGUUACAGAUCAUGCUUAUGUGUACCAUAGAAUGGAUCUAAACCAAGAUAACACAAUUGGAUGCAUAUAAAGCAACAAACUGUGUGCCAACACAGCCUUGUUCAUGGCAACGGAUGAAAAAGAACAUUAUUAUUUGGCAAUUUUGCUUACAUGUUAUAUGUUAGCUGCUCAGUUGAUCAAGUGUGCUAAUUACUAUAAUGGAUAACAUACUUAAGCAUAUGGUCAUCUUAGAUUAUGCAAUACGAACUUAGCAUCUGGAAAGCCGCAUCUGUUAUUUGCAAUAAUGGUGUUUUUUUUUACUUGGGCUAGAUUCUGUUAUAGAACACUUAUGCCUAAUCGAGGAUACACUCUUCCACUGGUUCAGGAGUUUUUGGAUUAUGCUCAGUCUGUUUGUCUUGGAACACUGCACUAAGUCGGGCCAGGGAAGUAGGAUGAAAGUCCCAAUGAAACCUUUACACUGUAGAAAGUAAAAGCUCAUGGUCAUGCUAGAUGAACUAGAUGCUCAUAUGUGCUUGAUCAGUUCCCUAUGUCCUAAUUAGCACAUUCACAUGUGAUUUUUUCUGUUGCAGAUAUUGCAGUGAGAUACAUGUUGGAUCUGUUGGACAUCCUUUCCGAACAUGCCGAGGAAUGUUGUCAAAUCAACGUAGGGGAGAGCAUGAGUGGGGAAGUACUUUAGCGGAAGCUGUUUUCUUACCUGUUGAAGCCUACCAUCUAGAGGACCGUCUUGGGAAUCGUAUCCCGCAUGAUCGGAGGUUUGCUGUACCCCGCAUUCCCGCUCUUGUGGAACUUUGCAUCCAAGCUGGAGUUGACCUCCCUGAGUAUCCCACAAAGCGUCGAAGAAAGCCAAUCAUUAAAAUUGGAAGAAACGAGUUUGUUGAUGCAGAUGAAGAUGACCUACCAGAACCAGAGCCUGACAGAUUUAAGCAGACACUUCUUGAAGAACUACAAUCCGAUGAAAUUGUCUCUCCAUCUAGCCCGGAGGAGACAGUGGCUCUUGCCGAGGAGACACUCGAAGCAUGGGAGACUGUCAGGGAUGGCGCCUUGAAGCUAAUGAAGGGCUAUGCUGUGAGGGUUUGUGGAUACUGCCCUGAGGUGCAUAUCGGACCAACUGGCCACAAAGCACGGAACUGUGGGGCCUUCAAGCAUCAGCAGAGGAAUGGACAGCAUGGAUGGCAAGCAGCAGUGCUCGAUGACCUAAUACCUCCUAGAUAUGUGUGGCACAUGCCAGAAUCUGGGGAGGAACUGCAGAGAGAGCUGAAGACAUUCUAUGGGCAGGCACCCGCCGUUGUUGAGAUAUGCAUUCAGGGUGGCGCCAAAGUGCCAGAGAAGU